rnacentral:rRNA from 1 species
UACGUAGGGGGCAAGCGUUGUCCGGAAUCAUUGGGCGUAAAGAGCGUGUAGGCGGUUCGGUAAGUCUGCUGUGAAAGUCCAGGGCUCAACCCUGGAAUGCCGGUGGAUACUGUCGAACUUGAGUCCGGAAGAGGCGAGUGGAACUCCUGGUGUAGCGGUGAAAUGCGCAGAUAUCAGGAAGAACACCAAUAGCGAAGGCAGCUCGCUGGUACGGUACUGAUGCUGAGACGCGAAAGCGUGGGGAGCAAACAGG